GGCGGCAUAGCCAAGCGGUAAGGCAUGGGUCUGCAACACCUUACCACCGGUUCGAGUCCGGUUGCCGCCUCCA
rnacentral:tRNA from 1 species